rnacentral:rRNA from 1 species
UACGUAGGGUGCAAGCGUUAAUCGGAAUUACUGGGCGUAAAGCGUGCGCAGGCGGUUUUGUAAGUCAGAUGUGAAAUCCCCGGGCUUAACCUGGGAACUGCGUUUGAAACUACAAGGCUAGAGUGUGGCAGAGGGGGGUGGGAAUUCCACGUGUAGCAGUGAAAUGCGUAGAGAUGUGGAGGAACACCGAUGGCGAAGGCAGCCCCCUGGGUUAACACUGACGCUCAUGCACGAAAGCGUGGGGAGCAAACAGG